rnacentral:rRNA from 1 species
GUGGGGAAUAUUGGGCAAUGGGGGCAACCCUGACCCAGUGACGCCGCGUGGGUGAAGAAAUCCUUCGGGAUGUAAAGCUCUUUUACCCGGGAAGAUAAUGACUGUACCGGGAGAAUAAGCCCCGGCUAACUCCGUGCCAGCAGCCGCGGUAAUACGGAGGGGGCUAGCGUUGUUCGGAAUUACUGGGCGUAAAGCGCACGUAGGCGGCUUUGUAAGUCAGAGGUGAAAGCCUGGAGCUCAACUCCAGAACUGCCUUUGAGACUGCAUCGCUUGAAUCCAGGAGAGGUGAGUGGAAUUCCGAGUGUAGAGGUGAAAUUCGUAGAUAUUCGGAAGAACACCAGUGGCGAAGGCGGCUCACUGGACUGGUAUUGACGCUGAGGUGCGAAAGCGUGGGGAGCAAACAGGAUUAGAAACCCUUGUAGUCC